rnacentral:misc_RNA from 1 species
GAUGAAGAACGUAGCGAAAUGCGAUAAGUAAUGUGAAUUGCAGAAUUCAGUGAAUCAUCGAAUCUUUGAACCCACAUUGCGCCCCCUGGUAUUCCGGGGGGCAUGCCUGUCCGAGCGUCAUUACAACCCUCAAGCUCAGCUUGGUGUUGGGCCCCGCCGCCCCGGCGGGCCCUAAAGUCAGUGGCGGUGCCGUCCGGCUCCGAGCGUAGUAAUUCUUCUCGCUCUGGAGGUCCGGUCGUGUGCUCGCCAGCAACCCCCAAUUUUUUUCAGGUUGACCUCGGAUCAGGUAGGGAUACCCGCUGAACUUAAGCAUAUCAAUAAGCGGAGGA